GAUAGAUGUUACACAUAUAUCUCAGUUUGGAAAUUUAAAAUAUGCACAUGUUUCUGUUGAUACCUGCUCUGGCAUUAUACAUGCCACUCUAAUGACUGGUGAGAAGGCUCGUAAUGCCAUUAGUCAUUGCUUAGAGGCGUGGGCAGCCUGGGGAAAGCCUGACAGCCUCAAGACAGACAACGGACCUGCCUACACCGCAAAGUCUUUUCAGACAUUUUGUCAAACAAUGCAGGUCAAACAUACUACAGGAUUGCCAUACAAUCCCCAAGGUCAAGGAAUU
rnacentral:lncRNA from 1 species